AGGACGAACGCUGGCGGCGUGCUUAACACAUGCAAGUCGAGCGGUAAGGCCUUUCGGGGUACACGAGCGGCGAACGGGUGAGUAACACGUGGGUGAUCUGCCCUGCACUUCGGGAUAAGCCUGGGAAACUGGGUCUAAUACCGGAUAUGACCUCCUAUCGCAUGGUGGGUGGUGGAAAGAUUUAUCGGUGCAGGAUGGGCCCGCGGCCUAUCAGCUUGUUGGUGGGGUAAUGGCCUACCAAGGCGGACGACGGGUAGCCGACCUGAGAGGGUGACCGGCCACACUGGGACUGAGACACGGCCCAGACCUCCUACGGGAGGCAGCAGUGGGGGAAUAUUGCA
rnacentral:rRNA from 1 species